rnacentral:rRNA from 1 species
UACGAAGGGGGCUAGCGUUGUUCGGAAUCACUGGGCGUAAAGGGCGCGUAGGCGGCCGAUCAAGUCGGGGGUGAAAGCCUGUGGCUCAACCACAGAAUUGCCUUCGAUACUGUUUGGCUUGAGACCGGAAGAGGUUAGUGGAACUGCGAGUGUAGAGGUGAAAUUCGUAGAUAUCGAGAGGAACACCGGUGGCGAAGGCGGCGAUCUGGACGAUGACUGACGCUGAGACGCGAAAGCGUGGGGAGCAAACAGG